CUCUCUGCUCUAUAAUUUUUCUAUCGGUGUUUUACUACGUUACGCAAAUGAUUAGUCAUAUUAUCUCAAAAAAUGUUCAAGUGGUCGACGUAUUUUAAUGUGUUAAUAAUUAUAUUGUCAUUAUUUAUUUCAAUCUGCAAAUCUGAUCAAAAAAAAAUUUUAGAGGCACAUACAAACGCUCAAACGGUGGCAUUAAAUUUCUACAUAUUAUUUGAUCGCUGUUUUUCAACCGCUAUGCCGAAUCAAAUGUUCUUAACGGAUAAUAUUCAGAACUUCAUCAACUACCCAUCGAAAACUACGGUUGGAUUAGCACCAAAGUUUACAAACAACAGAAAGUUUUUCGCAAACAUGCUCGGAACAGCGGCUUUUAAAGAAAUGUUGGCCAAUGACGAAGAUGAAGUGAGGAGAGACAUGAUAAAAAAAUUAAAAUAUUGUGAUGAAACUGUUAUGGAUAAAGAUUUUUUAAAAGAUUUCUAUGACCGCGAAGUCGACCAAUCAAAAAUAUAAAGAAACAUAAAUCAGUUACAA